rnacentral:rRNA from 1 species
AUGAAUUGGACUCCACCUAUGUCGGCGUUGAUGUUGAAAGGUUUUUCAGAGGUGGCGGCAAGAGGUGCUAAGACUGACAAAGGAUUCAAAAAGGCCGAAAAAUUGAAAGUUGCGAAGUUGAUAUCUGCUUUCGUUGGUUAUGAUGUGUCUAUUACUCAAGUGCACAAUCAUAUUUGCAAGUGACACAAUAGGUGGACAAGGAUUGUUUAUUUGAAGGGUUUAAGUGGGGCACUUUGGGAUGAUGACAAGAAGAUGGUAGUUCUAGAAGAACAACACUAUUUAGGCCACACUCAGAUGUCUUUGUUAAUUACUUUUAUUCAAAAAAUGAUGUUGUAGGAUCAUCCAACAGAUGCUGAAUUGCUCAAUUCCCCACUUGAGAACUACAACUAUAUGGAAAAUUGCUUUGCUAAUAAGCAAGCCGCUGAGAAUUAUUCAAUGACCGGUGUGCCACUGGGAACACCUAUUGUUGUGGAAGACAAAGAUAAACCCAAUGCAAUGGAGGGGCAAGGAACAACUGAUGAAGUAUUGCAACAUCUUUCUGGGUCUAACGUUGUACUUCCUACUGCUAGUGCAACUCAGCCCCUUUCACCUACUUCAAAUAAGAAGAGAAAGAGGGCAUCAGGUUUGACCGAGGAGGACUCACUCCAGUGUAGCAACAUGAUUGAUGCUAUGCGUGAGAUUGCAAGUGUUAUAAACAACACUUGCCAUGCUGAAACACACCCUAACUUGUACAAAGUUGUCAUGGACCUUACCGUGUUUGAUCAAAAUGAGCGAUUGGCUGUUUUAGAAUAUCUCACAGAACAUAAGGCAAAAGGCCUUAACUUUGUGAAGAUGAAUAAUGAAGUCCGUCAAGCAGCGUUCAAAAGUAUCUUGAAAGCCAAUCCUGAUAUUCUUUGA